GGGGGCGACCUGGUUUCGACGUGGGUUGCAAAACCAGAGUUGCAUGCCGAGAAUGAGAACUCUCGUAAAUCAGACUCAAAUAAAUAUAAAUGCAAACGAUGAAAACUUCGCUGGCGAGGCUAUUGCUGCUUAAUUAGGGCUUUAGUUUUACAGCAACGUGUACUGGCCUAAACCCCGGUGCCCCGUUCGACCGAGCUCGCUUAUCGGUAUCGAAUCAACGGUCAUUAGAGAUAAGCUAGCAUCCUGAUUAAUCCCGAGUUGAGAUGCGAAAUUCAGGGAAUCGCUGUGUACCAUCCUGCCUGUCGGAGAGUCCAUAGUUAAAUCAAAAGACAAGGCUACGCAUGUAGAGCUGAAGGCAGAGGAUUUGCGGACGCGGGUUCGAUUCCCGCCGCCUCCACCA
rnacentral:tmRNA from 1 species